GCUGUUUGAACAUUUUAUCAUUUAGAGUGACAAUGAGUUCUCGCAUCAUACGCAAUUCUGUAUUCCUGAAAACAAUUUAUCGUGCAGAAACUUUUCAAAGAAAACUAAUGAUUGACUUUGGCAAAAUGGAUCAAUUCUAUGCAUUAUGUGACAUUGUUAUGAUCGUAUUACAUGGACAACUGAUACUUACAGAUAUUCACAGAGAGAAACUAAAACACUACAGAAACGUCAUUCGUGCCUUAGCGCAUUAACAUUGCAAGGAAAGAGCGAACACUUUUAGCAUAUCACGGGUUGAUUCCUUUAUUGAUAUACCCUGUUAUCCGAC
rnacentral:lncRNA from 1 species